CGUGCGAAAGCGUGGGUAGCAAACCAGGAUUAGAUACCCUGGUAGUCCACGCCAGUAAACGAUGUAGACUAGCCGUUGGGUCCCCUGAGGAUUUAGUGGCGCAGUUAACCCGAUAAGUCGACCGCCUGGGGAGUACGGCCGCAAGGUUAAAACUCAAAUGAAUUGACGGGGGCCCGCACAAGCGGUGGAGCAUGUGGUUUAAUUCGAUGCAACGCGAAGAACCUUACCUACCCUUGACAUCCUGCGAACCCGGAAGAGAUUCCGGGGUGCCUUCGGGAGCGCAGAGACAGGUGCUGCAUGGCUGUCGUCAGCUCGUGUUGUGAAAUGUUGGGUUAAGUCCCGUAACGAGCGCAACCCUUGUCCCUAUUUGCCAGCGAUUCGGUCGGGAACUCUAGGGAGACUGCCGGUGACAAACCGGAGGAAGGUGGGGACGACGUCAAGUCAUCAUGGCCCUUACGGGUAGGGCUACACACGUGCUACAAUGGCCGGUACAAAGGGUUGCGAAAGCGCGAGCUGAAGCUAAUCCCGAAAAGCCGGUCUCAGUCCGGAUCGGAGUCUGCAACUCGACUCCGCGAAGUCGGAAUCGCUAGUAAUCGUGCAUCAGAAUGGCACGGUGAAUACGUUCCCGGGCCUUGUACACACCGCCCGUCACACC
rnacentral:rRNA from 1 species